rnacentral:tRNA from 1 species
GCGGGAGUGGCGAAAUUGGUAGACGCAUCAGAUUUAGAUUCUGACGCCAUUGGUGUGCGAGUUCAAAUCUCGCCUCCCGCA